GAUGAACGCUGGCGGUAUGCUUAACACAUGCAAGUCGAACGGUCACUUCGGUGAUAGUGGCGGACGGGUGAGUAACGCGUGAGAAUCUGUCUUCAGGUCGGGGACAACAGUUAGAAAUGACUGCUAAUACCGGAUGUGCCUUUGGGUGAAAGAUUUAUUGCCUGAAAAAGAGCUCGCGUCAGAUUAGCUAGUAGGUGGUGUAAGAGACUACCUAGGCUCCGAUCUGUAGCUGGUCUGAGAGGACGAUCAGCCACACUGGAACUGAGACACGGUCCAGACUCCUACGGGAGGCAGCAGUGGGGAAUUUUCCGCAAUGGGCGAAAGCCUGACGGAGCAAUACCGCGUGAGGGACGAAGGCUUUUGGGUCGUAAACCUCUUUUCUCAAGGAAGAUGAUGACGGUACUUGAGAAAUAAGCAUCGGCUAACUCUGUG
rnacentral:rRNA from 1 species